rnacentral:tRNA from 1 species
GGGGCCAUAGCUCAGCUGGGAGAGCGGUUGCCUGGCAGGCAAUAGGUCAGGGGUUCAAGUCCCCUUGGCUCCACCA